UGGGGAAUAUUGCACAAUGGGGGAAACCCUGAUGCAGCAACGCCGCGUGCGGGAUGACGGCCUUCGGGUUGUAAACCGCUUUCAGCCAUGACGAAGCUUUUGUGACGGUAGUGGCAGAAGAAGCACCGGCUAACUACGUGCCAGCAGCCGCGGUGAUACGUAGGGUGCGAGCGUUGUCCGGAAUUAUUGGGCGUAAAGAGCUUGUAGGCGGUUUGUCGCGUCGAAAGUGUAAACUCAGUGCUUAACGCUGAGCCUGCUUUCGAUACGGGCUGACUAGAGGAAGGUAGGAGAGAAUGGAAUUCCCGGUGGAGCGGUGGAAUGCGCAGAUAUCGGGAGGAACACCAGUGGCGAAGGCGGUUCUCUGGACCUUUCCUGACGCUGAGAAGCGAAAGCGUGGGUAGCAAACAGG
rnacentral:rRNA from 1 species